rnacentral:rRNA from 1 species
AAAUUAGGAUUAGAUACCCUAUUAUUUUAAAUGUAAAUAUUAAAAACUUGAUUAAUAUAAGUUUAUGGUCUUUAAAAUUAAAGAUUUUGGCGGUAUUUUAGUCUAUUCAGAGGAAUCUGUCCUAUAAUUGAUAAUCCACGAUUUAAUUUACUUUUAGAAAAAAUUUAUAUAUCGUCGUAGUUUGAAUAUUUUAAAAGAAUUUUAAUGUUCAAAAUUUUUUAUAAAAUUAAAUCAGAUCAAGGUGUAGUUUAUAUAAAAGAAGAGAUGGAUUACAUUAAAUUUAUUUAAAGAUUAAUUUUUGUAAAAUUUUAUGAAUAUGGAUUUGAUAGUAAUUUUUUAAAAAUUUUAAAAAUGAUUUAAGCUCUAAAAUAUGUACACAUCGCCCG